CCUACGGGCGGCAGCAGUGAGGAAUAUUGGUCAAUGGACGAGAGCCUGAACCAGCCAAGUAGCGUGAAGGAUGACUGCCCUAUGGGUUGUAAACUUCUUUUAUAAAGGAAUAAAACGCGGCACGUGUGCCGUUUUGCAUGUACCUUAUGAAUAAGGAUCGGCUAACUCCGUGCCAGCAGCCGCGGUAAUACGGAGGAUCCGAGCGUUAUCCGGAUUUAUUGGGUUUAAAGGGAGCGUAGAUGGGUUGUUAAGUCAGUUGUGAAAGUUUGCGGCUCAACCGUAAAAUUGCAGUUGAUACUGGCAGUCUUGAGUACAGUUGAGGUAGGCGGAAUUCGUGGUGUAGCGGUGAAAUGCUUAGAUAUCACGAAGAACCCCGAUUGCGAAGGCAGCUUACGAGACUGUAACUGACGCUGAUGCUCGAAAGUGUGGGCAUCAAACAGGAUUAGAUACCCUAGUAGUC
rnacentral:rRNA from 1 species